UACUAGAGUAGCACUCGCAUAUCAAUAAGCGGAGGAAAAGAAACUAACAAGGAUUCCCCUAGUAACGGCGAGUGAAGCGGGAAGAGCUCAAAUUUGAAAUCUUAAAGGGUUUCCCUUUACGAAUUGUAGUUUAAAGAAGUGUUUUCUGUUGAGGUUUUGGUAAAAGUUCUUUGGAAUAGGACAUCAUAGAGGGUGAGAAUCCCGUAUUUGACCUUUACUUUCAACUUUGUGAUACACUUUCAAAGAGUCGGAUUGUUUGGGAAUGCAGUCCAAAAUGGGUGGUAAAUUUCAUCUAAAGCUAAAUAUUGGCGAGAGACCGAUAGCGAACAAGUACCGUGAGGGAAAGAUGAAAAGAACUUUGAAAAGAGAGUUAAACAGUACGUGAAAUUGUCAAAAGGGAAGCGUUUGACACCAGUGUUGUUUUUCUGAAAAUCAAUUAAAGAACUGUUUAUGCUAAGUUGUUUAGACUUUAUCAGCUAUCUGUUUAGUUUUGAGCUUUUCUUUAAUGCACUUUUCAGUUAACAAGUCAACAUCAAUUUCUUUUGCUGUAAAAAAGCUUGAGGAAGGUGGCUUGAGAUUCGUCUUAAGUGUUUAUAGCCUCUUGCCUAUGCAGUCGGAGAGAUUGAGGUCUGCAGCGUAGAUCCUUCGGGGCUAAAUGCAUUUGUGCUAAGUUAUAGCAUUUUAUAGACAACUUGUUGACUAUGAUUUGUCUUGUAGCUUACUCGCUUAUGUUAUUUUACCUACGCUUAGGAUGUUGAGCGCAUGUCUCUCUCU
rnacentral:rRNA from 1 species